AUUGAACGCUGGCGGCAGGCCUAACACAUGCAAGUCGAACGGUAACAGGAAGACGCUUGCUUCUUUGCUGACGAGUGGCGGACGGGUGAGUAAUGUCUGGGAAACUGCCUGAUGGAGGGGGAUAACUACUGGAAACGGUAGCUAAUACCGCAUAACGUCGCAAGACCAAAGAGGGGGACCUUCGGGCCUUUUGCCAUCGGAUGUGCCCAGAUGGGAUUAGCUAGUAGGUGGGGUAACGGCUCACCUAGGCGACGAUCCCUAGCUGGUCUGAGAGGAUGACCAGCCACACUGGAACUGAGACACGGUCCAGACUCCUACGGGAGGCAGCAGUGGGGAAUAUUGCACAAUGGGCGCAAGCCUGAUGCAGCCAUGCCGCGUGUAUGAAGAAGGCCUUCGGGUUGUAAAGUACUUUCAGCGGGGAGGAAGGGAGUAAAGUUAAUACCUUUGCUCAUUGACGUUACCCGCAGAAGAAGCACCGGCUAACUCCGUG
rnacentral:rRNA from 1 species